AGAUUGAACGCUGGCGGCAUGCCUAACACAUGCAAGUCGAACGGGAGUAGCAAUACUCUAGUGGCGGACGGGUGAGGAAUACGUAGGAAUUUGCCCUUAAGUGGGGGAUAACCCGGGGAAACCCGGAUUAAUACCGCAUGACCUCGAAAGAGCAAAGUGGGGGAUCGCAAGACCUCACGCUUUUGGAGAAGCCUACGUCGGAUUAGCUAGUUGGUGAGGUAAUGGCUCACCAAGGCGACGAUCCGUAACUGGUCUGAGAGGAUGAUCAGUCACACCGGAACUGAGACACGGUCCGGACUCCUACGGGAGCAGCAGUGGGGAAUAUUGGACAAUGGGCGCAAGCCUGAUCCAGCAAUGCCGCGUGUGUGAAG
rnacentral:rRNA from 1 species